rnacentral:lncRNA from 1 species
GGAGAGGGGGAGUGGCAACCCCUUUUCUUGAUUUAAAUAGACAAUCAAGAGGAGAAAGGAGGGAGGAGGGUGGUUUGACGAAAAAAAACCCUGGACCCCAAAUGCAAGUCCAAAAUAAAGAGGAAAAGAAAGUUAUUACAUCACGUUACAAAACAUGAGCUAAACCUAAGUACAACAGUUUCUACCGUCAUUCACUUUGUCGUCAUUCGCAAGGGACUACCACCUGAAACACGACAAAAAAAGAAGCUUCGAUUCAAAGGUAAUCAUUCAAAUGUUACUUCACAUAACAUUCACACAUACAUAUUGUUAUAUUUAUACUCUCUUAAAACUACCCUCGAUUCCAAUGUUCGUUGCGACUGAUCAAGUAAACGAUUCAUAAAGCUAUCAAACCCUUAAAAUAAGCUUUAAAAAUCACUGAAAAGUUGAUGGAAAUCAUGAUAAACAGAAAAACCUAUAAUUAUAUUUCACUAGGAGUCUGAAAAAUCACGAAACUCACAGUAUAAUCGAGUUAAAGCACGUUUUUUUCGACUAAACAGAUUGCUCAAAUUUUAACAUUAGCAAAAGGUAAGUUUUUUUUUGAAAAAUAAAACUUAAUUAAAACAUAUAAAAUACUAUAAUCCCAAUAAUAAAAUUAAAUGAUUCCUUAGAUAACUAAUCAAGAAACAAACCUAAAAAGGGGUUGGAUCCUUUUUCACCACGCUGCUUUUUCUCUAUCUCUGUUUCUCCACCGCAACCAUCGAUUAUCACCCGUAACCAAGAAAAAAAACCAGAGCAGAUUAGAUCGACGAAGUAGAAAAGGGUUUUUUUCAACCCUAGGUUUACAGAUCGGGAAUCGCAUGUCACUUGAGGGUCACUUGAGGGCUCUCCGAAACCUUCGGCGAUGACAUGUUAGCCCGAAUCUGAGCUAAACGAGAGAAACUUAACCCCAAAAAGGAUUUAUGAACUUUUACCUUUUCUUCCUAGUUGUUGAUGAUGGAGGACAGAGAGAAAGGGGAGAAGGAGAGAAAAAAAAAUUAGUGGAAGAGCCGCGGCGGCGGAGGCGGCGGUGGCCGAGAGGGAGAAGGAGAGAAGAGGGGAGAAAGGUUAGAGAGAAGGGAGAGGUUUUAGAGAGAAGUCAGAGAGAACUGAGAGGAGAGGAGGUGAGGCG